rnacentral:rRNA from 1 species
CAGGUGGUCAGGUAGAGAAUACCAAGGCGCUUGAGAGAACUCGGGUGAAGGAACUAGGCAAAAUGGUGCCGUAACUUCGGGAGAAGGCACGCUGAUAUGUAGGUGAAGCGACUUGCUCGUGGAGCUGAAAUCAGUCGAAGAUACCAGCUGGCUGCAACUGUUUAUUAAAAACACAGCACUGUGCAAACACGAAAGUGGACGUAUACGGUGUGACGCCUGCCCGGUGCCGGAAGGUUAAUUGAUGGGGUUAGCGGUAACGCGAAGCUCUUGAUCGAAGCCCCGGUAAACGGCGGCCGUAACUAUAACGGUCCUAAGGUAGCGAAAUUCCUUGUCGGGUAAGUUCCGACCUGCACGAAUGGCGUAAUGAUGGCCAGGCUGUCUCCACCCGAGACUCAGUGAAAUUGAACUCGCUGUGAAGAUGCAGUGUACCCGCGGCAAGACGGAAAGACCCCGUGAACCUUUACUAUAGCUUGACACUGAACAUUGAGCCUUGAUGUGUAGGAUAGGUGGGAGGCUUUGAAGUGUGGACGCCAGUCUGCAUGGAGCCGACCUUGAAAUACCACCCUUUAAUGUUUGAUGUUCUAACGUUGGCCCCUAAUCGGGGUUGCGGACAGUGUCUGGUGGGUAGUUUGACUGGGGCGGUCUCCUCCUAAAGAGUAACGGAGGAGCACGAAGGUUGGCUAAUCCUGGUCGGACAUCAGGAGGUUAGUGCAAUGGCAUAAGCCAGCUUGACUGCGAGCGUGACGGCGCGAGCAGGUGCGAAAGCAGGUCAUAGUGAUCCGGUGGUUCUGAAUGGAAGGGCCAUCGCUCAACGGAUAAAAGGUACUCCGGGGAUAACAGGCUGAUACCGCCCAAGAGUUCAUAUCGACGGCGGUGUUUGGCACCUCGAUGUCGGCUCAUCACAUCCUGGGGCUGAAGUAGGUCCCAAGGGUAUGGCUGUUCGCCAUUUAAAGUGGUACGCGAGCUGGGUUUAGAACGUCGUGAGACAGUUCGGUCCCUAUCUGCCGUGGGCGCUGGAGAACUGAGGGGGGCUGCUCCUAGUACGAGAGGACCGGAGUGGACGCAUCACUGGUGUUCGGGUUGUCAUGCCAAUGGCACUGCCCGGUAGCUAAAUGCGGAAGAGAUAAGUGCUGAAAGCAUCUAAGCACGAAACUUGCCCCGAGAUGAGUUCUCCCUGACUCCUUGAGAGUCCUGAAGGAACGUUGAAGACGACGACGUUGAUAGGCCGGGUGUGUAAGCGCAGCGAUGCGUUGAGCUAACCGGUACUAAUGAACCGUGAGGCUUAACCUUACAA